rnacentral:SRP_RNA from 1 species
CCGUGCUAGACGGGGAGGUAGCGGUGCCCUGUACCCGAAAACCGCUAUAGCGGGGUUGACUUCCCACCCUAGGCCUGCCUUCUUUGGGGCCUGCCCGACGCAAGUGGUGUUGAGGGCUGGGUCCUGCGCAACGAGGCUCUGUGAACCCCGUCAGGACCGGGAGGUAGCAGCGGUAAGCAGAUACCCUCGUGUGCCGCGGGAGCGCCUGGUCGGAGCUGGCUACGUCGGUACCGCCUGGGGAAGCUUGUCGAAGGUGGGUGCACGG